rnacentral:rRNA from 1 species
GAGCAAUCCUGGUGGCGAGUGGCGAGCGGGUGAGUAAUAUAUCGGAACGUGCCCAGUCGUGGGGGAUAACGUAGCGAAAGCUACGCUAAUACCGCAUACGAUCUAUGGAUGAAAGCGGGGGAUCGCAAGACCUCGCGCGAUUGGAGCGGCCGAUAUCAGAUUAGGUAGUUGGUGAGGUAAAGGCUCACCAAGCCGACGAUCUGUAGCUGGUCUGAGAGGACGACCAGCCACACUGGGACUGAGACACGGCCCAGACUCCUACGGGAGGCAGCAGUGGGGAAUUUUGGACAAUGGGCGCAAGCCUGAUCCAGCAAUGCCGCGUGCAGGAUGAAGGCCUUCGGGUUGUAAACUGCUUUUGUACGGAGCGAAAAGGCUUCCACUAAUACUGGGGGCUCAUGACGGUACC